rnacentral:rRNA from 1 species
AUUGAACGCUGGCGGCAGGCUUAACACAUGCAAGUCGAGCGAGCGGCGGACGGGUGAGUAAUGUCUGGGAAACUGACUGAUGGAGGGGGAUAACUACUGGAAACGGUAGCUAAUACCGCAUACCAUCAGAUGUGCCCAGAUGGGAUUAGCUAGUAGGUGGGGUAAUGGCUCACCUAGGCGACGAUCCCUACCUGGUCUGAGAGGAUGACCGGCCACACUGGAACUGAGAACCGGUCCAGACUCGUACGGUGGGCAGCAGUGGGGAAUAUUGCACGAUGAGCGCAAGCCUGAUGCAGCCAUGCCGCGUGUGUGAAGAAGGCCUUCGGGUUGUGAAGUACUUUCAGCGAGGAGGCGUUACUCGCAGAAGAAGCACCGGCUAACACCGUGCCAGCCGCCGCGGUAAUUC